AGUCGAGCGGCAGCGCGGGGCACUGGCGGCGAGCGGCGAACGGGUGAGUAAUAUAUCGGAACGUAUCCUUGAGUGGGGGACAACUAGUCGAAAGACUAGCUAAUACCGCAUACGCUCGGAAGAGGAAAGUGGGGGACCGCAAGGCCUCACGCUGAAGGAGCGGCCGAUAUCAGAUUAGCUAGAUGGUGAGGUAAAGGCUUACCAUGGCGACGAUCUGUACUGGUCUGAGAGGAUGAUCAGCCACACUGGGACUGAGACACGGCCCAGACUCCUACGGGAGGCAGCAGUGGGGAAUUUUGGACGAUGGGGGCAACCCUGAUCCAGCCAUUCCGCGUGAGUGAAGAAGGCCUUCGGGUUGUAAAGCUCUUUUGUUCGGGACGAAACGGUUACGGUUAAUAACUGUGACUAAUGACGGUACCGGAAGAAUAAGCACCGGCUAACUACGUGCCAGCAGCCGCGGUAAUACGUAGGGUGCGAGCGUUAAUCGGAAUUACUGGGCGUAAAGCGUGCGCAGGCGGUUAUGUAAGCCAGAUGUGAAAUCCCCGGGCUCAACCUGGGAAUGGCAUUUGGGACUGCAUGGCUAGAGUAUGGCAGAGGAGGCUAAAUUCCUGGUGUAGCCAGUGAAAUGCGUAAUUUCAGGAGGAAUACCGAUGGCGAAGGCAGGUCUCUGGGUCAAUACUGACGCUCAUGCACG
rnacentral:rRNA from 1 species